AUGCCGGAUCCUUAAACCACUGAGAGAGGCCAGGGAUCGAACCCUAGCCUCAUGGUUAUGAGUUGGAUUCCUUUCCGCUCUGCCACAAUGGGAACUCCUGCUAUGUAUUUUAAAAAGUUUUUCAUACUGAUUGUAUUUCACAGUUAGCAGAUAUAAUGACUUCUUUUGUAUUUGUUGAGUUAGUGUGGUGUUUAGUCUAGGCCCUUUGAAAUUUUUAAUAUGUUAAACAUGGAUUGUAAAUUGUGCUCUUUGUGUGUGUGUGUAUGUACGUGUGUGUUUAGGGCUGCACCCUCGGCAUGUGGAGGUUCCCAGGCUAGGGGUCUAAUCAGAGCAGUAGCUGCCGGCCUACACCACAGCCACAGCAGCACCGUGGGAUCCGAGCUGAGUCUGCGACCUACACCACAGCUCAUGGCAGUGUCGGAUCCUUAACCCACUGAGCCAGGCCAGGGAUCGAACCUGCAACCUCAUGGUUCCUAGUCAGAUUCGUUUCUGCUGCACCACAAUGGGACUCCAUAAAGUUUGCUUAAAGAGGUCAUGGUUAAGUUUUUAGGUUUUUAAAAUUUUACUGUGUAUAAAAUAUAGGAAUAAGCAUUCAGCAUGUAGGCUGUAUACCAUAUUUGAUGUAUCAGAAAUAGCCAUCUUGGUAUAUGUUUAUAUGGGGGUUAGGAAGUAUGGCAAGGAAUGGAGACGAUCAGGAGAAAAGAAAAAGGUCCUUGGCUGGAUGUCUUUAUUUUAUUCUAAUAAACAAUUUAACUUCCAUUCCUCCUUUUAAGUCUCUUAUUCUCUCUUGCUCAUAUCAGAAUAUCAAUACUAUAGAUGAACCAUUGGUUCCUUAAUCUUUGCCCACCGAAGCACAGACUAAGAAAAAGUAAUUAUACACAGUUUAGAAUCAGGAUUUAAAUUUUUUAAGGUUUCCCUAACCCUUUUAAAGAAGUGGAUGGGAUAGCAAUGGAGAAUAAGGAGUUUUAUCUCUCUUGAUUCUAAUAAAAUCAAGGUAUUUAUCAUAGUAUGUGGUUUUCACAGAUUUAUUCUAUAUGGUUAGGACUUUGAAAGUAUAAAUCAGCGAAGUGGAAGUGAAAAACAAGCUUCUGUUUAAGAGAAAUCUUAGUUAUAUUAACAUUUCUGUGGAUAUUGAAGAGUUAUUCAGGUAUACUGUUAUGUUGGGGAUUUUACGUUUAGAUCAGUAAGUUAACAACUGCUAGAUGACAUUUUAAUCAUUUACCGAUGAAGGUAAAAUGUUCUAACUAUAACUUAAAGAAGUGGUAAAAUAAAGAUUGUCAGACACUUUAAAUAUUUUGUAUAAGGGCAUACUCUGUAAGUAAUGAUUUUCUUGGCGUAGAUAAUUUUCUUUUUCCUUAACUGAGGAAUAGAUGGUAUCUCAAUUUUUUAAUUUUUAUUUUUUAUUUUCUAUUUUUUUAAAUAUGCAGCCUAAUAUUUUCUAACCAGAUUGUAUUUUUUAUGUAAUUUAUAAUUUUAUUUAUAUUUUUGCUUUUAGGAUUUUUUUUUUAAAGGAUAUUCACUUUUUUNNNNNNNNNNNNNNNNNNNNNNNNNNNNNNNNNNNNNNNNNNNNNNNNNNNNNNNNNNNNNNNNNNNNNNNNNNNNNNNNNNNNNNNNNNNNNNNNNNNNNNNNNNNNNNNNNNNNNNNNNNNNNNNNCCAGAGCCACAGCAACGCCAGAUCCGAGCCGCGUCUGCGACCUACACCACAACUCACGGUAAUGCCGGAUCCUUAACCCACUGAGCAAGGGCAGGGAUCAAACCCGCAACCUCAUGGUUCCUAGUCGGAUUCGUUAACCACUGCACCACGACGGGAACUCUGGGAUUUUUUUUAAUCAAAGCCAUGUACGUGAAAAAUUUUCCAGCUUAAAAAAAUUGUGUGUAUAUAAUUUAAAUGGAGAAAGGAGCUGGUCUGUAAAAGACAAGCGUUUAAUUUUUUUUAACCAGAAACCACGUAGGAGGCAUAAGAAUAUGUCUUAUAUGCUUAUUAAAAGUUUUUGAGGUUUGGUAAGCCUCAGUUCAGACAUUUAUAUUCAGAAGCAAACACAUGGUCAGCAAGGUUGGCGAUUCCGGGAAUCAGUGUAGAACGUCAAGGUUUGGUGAGUUGACUGAUCUCACAUAGCUUAUGAGAAAUAUUACCUUUGGCACAUGACACAGACUACAUUUGCUUUCUUGAUUUGAAAAGACUUAAAUUGAGCUCACAAAUAAUUUUUAAAAUUUGUGUUGUGGUUAUAUAUUAUACCCCUACCCCUUAGUUGUUCAUUUUAUUUCAUUCAUUCAUCUCAACUGUGAAUAGUUGUUUCUUUUCUAGUAUUGAUAAUUCUUUUUUAUUCUUUUUUUUUUUUUUUUUUUUUUUUUUUUUUUUAAAUUACGGCUGCACCUGCAGCAUAUAGAAUGUCCUGGGCCAGGGAUCGAAUCAGAACGGUAGCUGGAGCCUAUGCCACAUCCCUAGGAAUGCUGCAUCCUUAACCCACUAAGCAAAGCCAUGGAUCAAACCCACAUCCUCGUAGUGACAAUAUAGGGUCCGUAACCCGCUGAGCCACAGCAGGAACUUUUUAUUCUCCCCCACCCCCACCCUCGAGGAAGUUCCUGGGCCAGGGAUCAGACCUGUGCCACAGCAGUGACCCAAGCCAAUGCAGCGACAACACCGGAUUCUUAACCCACUGCACCACAAGAGAACUCCAGUAUUGAUAAUUCUUAAUGAAACUUUAUUUCUUUUUAGGAUUGAUACAGCAUAGCUGUUCUCAAAUAUAGCUGCAUAUUAAAAUUUUAGACUUAGGAUGUCUUAAAAAUAUAUGGAUGCCUAGCCUUGCCCUAGAGAUUAUGAUUUAGUCUUUUGAGCCUCAGUCACCCCCCCACCUUCUCUUUUUAAACUUUUUUUUUUCAUUUUCCAGUUCCCGUUGUGGCGCAGUGGUUAACGAAUCCGACUAGGAACCAUGAGGUUGCAGGUUCGGUCCCUGGCCUUGCUCAGUGGGUUAAGGAUCCGGCAUUACCGUGAGUUGUGGUGUAGGUCGCAGACGCGGCUCGGAUCCCGCGUUGCUGUGGCUCUGGCGUAGGCCGGUGGCUAUGGCUCCGAUUCGACCCCUAGCCUGGGAACCUCCAUAUGCCGCAGGAGCGGCCCAGGAAAUAGCAAGAAGACAAAAAACAAAAACAAAAAACCACUUUUUUUGUUUUUGUCCUUUUAGGGCUGCACCUGUGGCAUAUGGAGGUUCCCAGGCCAGGGGUUGAGUCAGAGCUGAAGCCUCUGGACCAUGCCACAGCCACAGCAAUGCCAGAUCCAAGCUGCAUCUGUGACUGACACCACACCUCAUGGCAAUGCCAGACUGUAACCCACUGAGCAGGGCCAGGGAUCGAACCUGCAUCCUCAUGGAUGCUAUCUAGAUUCGUUUCCGCUUAGCCACAAUGGGAACUGCUAAACUUACUAUUAAUUGGUUAAUUGUGAAAGGUUAAAGGUAGAACUCAGGAAUAGCAAGAUGGAAGAGAUACGUAGGGUAAGGUCAGUGGGGAGGGAUGUGGAACCUUCGCGUGCUGCCCAGCACUGUGGUGCAUUCCAUUACAUAAGUAUGAUUGAUUAAAUCAUUGGCCAUCGGUGAUUUUUUAUUUUUAAUUGAAUUAAUUAAAUAAUUUAUUUAUUUUGUCUUUUUAGGGCUGCACCCGUGGCAUAUGGAAGUUCUCAGGCUAGGGGUACAGUCGGAGCUGUAGCCAGCAGCCUGUGCCACAGCAGUGUGGGAUCUGAGCCAUGUUUGCAACCUACACCACAGCUCAUGGCAAUGCCAGAUUGUUAACCCUGAGCGAGGCCAGGGAUUGAACCCGAGUCCUCAUUGAUGCUAGUCAGGUUCGUUAACUGCUGAGCCAGGACAGGAACUCCACAAUUUUAAAUUUAUUUUUAGGGAAAAAACUUAAACUUAGAACAUGUAUCUUCCUUUUUCGUAUUUUGACCCUUAGAAGUGAGUGCUAGUUCCCACUGUGGCGCAGUGGGUUAAGAAUCUAACCCGCAGCAGCUUGAGUUGCUGCAGUGAUGCGAGUUCAAUCCCUGGCUUCACACAGUGGGUUAAAUUACCUGGUGUAGGUUGCAGCUUUGGCAGCUUGGAUUCACUACCUGACUCGGGAACUUCCAUAUGCUGCAGGUGCAGCAAUUAAAAAAAAAAAAAUGUGGGUGCCGAUCUUCAGUUUGGGUUCUAAUAAGAUGUCUUUUGACAUUUAUUAUGCAUAAUCAUGAUCUACAACAAUUCUGAAAGAUUCUUAUAGGGUUUAUAAGCCAUUUGAUGGCAAGCAGUGUAAAAUUUUAAAGGGCCAACUUAGUAGCAUAUGUUAGAAGUGGUUUUAUGGAAAUAUAUUAACUGUGAUCAUAUUUUUAUUAGUUUGUCUUAUAUUAUGAAGAAUAACUGGGAGUUCCCAUGGUGCUUCAGUGGUUAUCAGCCCCACUAGUAUCCAUGAGGAUGUGGGUUCGAUCCCUGGCUUCACUCAGUGGGUUAAGGAUCCAGCAUUGCUUCAAGCUGUGGUGUAGGUUGCAGGUGAGGCUCGGAUCUGGCCUUGCUGUGGCCAUGGCAUAGGCUGGCAGCUACAGCUCUGUUUUGAUCCCUAGCCUGGGAACUUCCAUAUGCUGCAUAUGCAACCCUAAAAAGAAAAAGAAAAAAAAAGUGUUUGUAAAUUAUCAGAUAUAGUUUCCUUCAUCAUUUGUAUAAAUCUUAUGUACUGAAAACAGAGCUACGUCCUUGAGAACAUCUCCCAUUGUUUCUUUGAUUUGAAGAAAUGAUUGCAAUCUUACAGCUUUCUGGAGGACUUCAGUUAAUAUGCAGUACCGUUGGAAAAGCACAGCAAAAAUGUAAACUCAGAUUGUAUAGAUUUUGUGUUAACAAUUGUUUUAAAAAUAACCACUUUAAAUGAUUAGUUUAAAAAUUGAUAUUAUUCUUACUUUUUUUUUUUUUGCCUUGCCUCUUGACAUGUCGACGUUCCCAGGCCAGGGAUGAAACCUGCACCACAGCAGUGACAACACUGUAUACCUUUUGAGCCACCAGGGAGCUCACACAUAGGAUUUUCUAAUAUCUACUAGCCUAGCUGAAACUUGAAUUGACAGGCUCUUCAACAAAUAGGUGGUUCUGGUUUUAAGAAAUUUUCUUUUCUAGACAUAGUAAUUUUUUUUUUUUUAUUUCUAUGGCUGCACACAUGGUUUAUGGAAAUGCCCAGGUUAGAGGUCAAAUUGGAGCUACAACUGCUGUCCUAUUCCACAGCCACAGCCAUGCCAGAUCUGAGUGCGUCUGUGAACUACACUGCAGCUCUUGGCAGCAUUGGAUCCUUAACCCCCUGAGUGGGGCCAGGGAUCAAAUGGGCAUCCUCAUGAAUAUUAGUUGCAUUCUUAACCUGCUGAGCCAAAACAGGAACUCCUAGACAUAGUACUUUUUAACUGCCAUGUCCAAAACCCUAGGUUUAACUAAUUAAUUUAAAGCUGUCUUAAAGAUAGAGUGAAGAGGAGUUCCCUUGUGGCAUAGUGAUUAAGAAUCUGACAUUGUCGCUGCUGCAGCUUGGGUUCAUUCCCUGGCCUGGCAACUUACACAUGCUGCAGGCUUGGCCACAAUGUGUGGAAAAGAGUGAAAGAGUCAUAGUAGCUGGUUAAUCAUGCUCAUAAAUCAUGUAAAAAUAAAUGAUUGUGUAUGACCUUCAUCUCUUUUGACUUAGUAAGUGUUCUUAAUUAAGUGUAGGUAAAAUCCCAGUUGGUCACUGGCACUGUGAUUUAGAACUCCCACCUCUUUCAUUUCUAGGGUAAGUAUCUUUGCUUAAAGCAGGGACUUUAGUACUAUCGACUCUUUAAAAUUAAUCUC
rnacentral:lncRNA from 1 species